rnacentral:rRNA from 1 species
AUUUUGAAGGGUUUGAUCCUGGCUCAGAACGAACGUUGGCGGCGUGGAUUAGGCAUGCAAGUCGAACGAAGACGGUGUAGCAAUACGCCGGACUGAGUGGCGAAAGGGGCAGUAAGGCGUGGGUAACCUACCCUGAGGACUGGAAUAGCCACCCUAACGGGUGGGUAAUACCGGGCGACGUAGCGAGGGGGCAUCCUCUUGUUACCAAAUGAAUUUCGCCUUGGGAGGGGCUCACGUGGUCUUAGCUUGUUGGUGAGGUAACGGCUCUCCAAGGCCGAGAUGCCUAGCAGGUGUGAGAGCACGACCUGCGCCACUGGCACUGAGACACUGGCCAGACUCCUACGGGAGGCUGCAGUCGAGGAUCUUCGGCAAUGGGCGCAAGCCUGACCGAGCGACGCCGCGUGUGCGACGAAGGCCUUCGGGUUGUAAAGCACUGUCGAGGGGGAGGAAGCCGCAAGGUUGACCUAUCCCUGGAGGAAGGACGGGCUAAGUUCGUGCCAGCAGCCGCGGUAAGACGAACCGUCCUAACGUUGUUCGGAAUCACUGGGCUUAAAGGGCGCGUAGGCGGGCCAUCAAGUCCGGGGUGAAAUACUUCGGCUUAACCGGAGAAUUGCCUUGGAUACUGGUGGUCUAGAGGGAGGUAGGGGUCUGUGGAACUUCCGGUGGAGCGGUGAAAUGCGUUGAUAUCGGAAGGAACGCCGGUGGCGAAAGCGACGGACUGGACCUCUUCUGACGCUGAGGCGCGAAAGCCAGGGGAGCAAACGGGAUUAGAUACCCCGGUAGUCCUGGCCCUAAACGAUGGGUACUAGGUUGUGGACUAGACAUGGGUUCACAGCCGAAGCAAAAGUGCUAAGUACCCCGCCUGGGGAGUAUGGUCGCAAGGCUGAAACUCAAAGGAAUUGACGGGGGCUCACACAAGCGGUGGAGCAUGUGGCUUAAUUCGAGGCUACGCGAAGAACCUUAUCCU